rnacentral:lncRNA from 1 species
CAUAUUCAAUGCUCCUUGCUGCUUAUUUCUGGAAUUGAGGUGGCCUCGUGCUUUUAUAGGACAGCAAUUGACACAUUUGCCCUGGCAGCUGAGACAGCCCAUGAGGAAAGACGCUUUGGGGUCCACCUGUCCUAUUUAGAAACAGUUACACAGGACAGAGAAUGCUGAUUCACUAUGCAGUGAAACAUGCCUAACGUGUCAACAGCUAAAUGCCCGGUGACAGUGUGGUUGUCUGGGCAACAGAAGAAGUCACCCACGCAAACACUUAAAGGACCAUACUUAUUUUACAAGAGGAACAGUUUUCAAUGGAAUGGAUAUUAAAACACACACCUGGAUCCCUUUACCACAGGUGCUUUGAGAGGCACCAUCAAGGACAGUGAGCUAACGCAGGUAACUCAGGUAACAGGGCGGUGAGCUAAUGCAGGUAACACAGGUGACAGAGUCAUGGGCUAAUACAGGUAACACAGGGUAGUGAGUUAACUCAAGUAAUAUAGCUAAGCCAGGUAACCCAGCUUACACAGCCAACACCUGGCAGUGGGCUAACACAGUUAACUCUGGGAACACGGAGAUUCAGUCUUAUCUGAUGCCUGCCAACUUCAGGCUCUAGAAUGGAGUCCCAGAAACCUAGGAGGAGAAGACAAAGUGUCAGCCUCUCGGCAUCUGCAGUGUUGCUAGGAAAAGAGCUCUGAUCCCAGGGGCUUACCCACUUCCACAGGU